GCUUAACGCGAAGAACCUUACCAACCCUUGACAUGUGUAUCGCGGUUCCAGAGAUGGUUCCUUCAGUUCGGCUGGAUACAACACAGGUGCUGCAUGGCUGUCGUCAGCUCGUGUCGUGAGAUGUUCGGUUAAGUCCGGCAACGAGCGCAACCCACACUUUCAGUUGCUAUCAUUCAGUUGGGCACUCUGGAAGAACUGCCGGUGAUAAGCCGGAGGAAGGUGUGGAUGACGUCAAGUCCUCAUGGCCCUUACGGGUUGGGCUACACACGUGCUACAAUGGUGGUGACAAUGGGUUAAUCCCCAAAAGCCAUCUCAGUUCGGAUUGGGGUCUGCAACUCGACCCCAUGAAGUCGGAAUCGCUAGUAAUCGCGUAACAGCAUGACGCGGUGAAUACGUUCCCGGGUCUUGUACACACCG
rnacentral:rRNA from 1 species